rnacentral:rRNA from 1 species
GUGGGGAAUCUUGCGCAAUGGGCGAAAGCCUGACGCAGCCAUGCCGCGUGAAUGAUGAAGGUCUUAGGAUUGUAAAAUUCUUUCACCGGGGACGAUAAUGACGGUACCCGGAGAAGAAGCUCCGGCUAACUUCGUGCCAGCAGCCGCGGUAAUACGAAGGGGGCUAGCGUUGCUCGGAAUUACUGGGCGUAAAGGGCGCGUAGGCGGACAGCUUAGUCAGAGGUGAAAGCCCAGGGGUCAACCUUGGAAUUGCCUUUGAUACUGGCUGUCUUGAGUUUGGGAGAGGUGAGUGGAACUCCGAGUGUAGAGGUGAAAUUCGUAGAUAUUCGGAAGAACACCAGUGGCGAAGGCGACUCACUGGCCCAAUACUGACGCUGAGGCGCGAAAGCGUGGGGAGCAAACAGGAUUAGAUACCCCUGUAGUCC